rnacentral:pre_miRNA from 1 species
AGUGCAAUUGCUGGUUCAUAUGGUAAAACUAUAUUUAACUUUACAAGAAACUGCCAAACUGUCUUCCAAAGUGGGCUGUACUAUUUUACAUUGCCAACAGCAAU